GCAAAAUCUUUGGCUAGCACACUUGAGACAUUUGAAUUUUUACUUGGCAUGGUCAUUUGGCAUGACAUUUUGUUCACUGUAAACAUGGUGAGUAAGAAGUUGCAGUCUAAGUUUGUGUGCAUUGAUGUUACUCUUAAACAGAUUGAAGGUGCCAUCUCAUAUUUUAAGAAGUACAAAAAUGAUGGCUUUGCAACUAGUCUGGAUAUUGCGAGAUCUAUUGCAAUUGACAUGGGUGUACAACCUUUGUUUCCUGUCAAGAGACGUAUUACUAGAAAAAGACAGUUUGAUGAAAUUAGUGGCAAUGACGAAAAUAAC
rnacentral:rRNA from 1 species